CCCGCCUGCCCAGUGACAGUGUUUAACGGCCGCGGUAUUUUGACCGUGCAAAGGUAGCACAAUAAAUUGUCUCUUAAUUGGAGAACGGUAUGAAUGGCAUCACGAGGGCUUAACUGUCUCCCCUCUAAAGUCAAUGAAAUUGAUCUCCCCGUGCAGAAGCGGGGAUACACUCGUAAGACGAGAAGACCCUAUGGAGCUUUAGACAUAAGCCAGCCCACGUCAAACGCCCCUAGUAAAGGAAAUGAACAAAAUGGCCCCUGAUGGUAUGUCUUCGGUUGGGGCGACCACGGAGAAAGACAAAACCUCCACAUGGGCUGGGGCUACUACGCCCUAAAACACAGACCCACAGGUCAAAUAAACAGUACAUCUGACCAUAAAAGAGCCGGCAUAAGCCGAUCAAUGGACCAAGUUACCCUAGGGAUAACAGCGCAAUCCUCUCAAAGAGACCAUAUCGACGAGGGGGUUUACGACCUCGAUGUUGGAUCAGGACAUCCUAAUGGUGCAGCCGCUAUUAAGGGUUCGUUUGUUCAACGAUUAACAGUCCUACGUGAUCU
rnacentral:rRNA from 1 species